UCAAGUUACUAAGGGCGCAUGGUGGAUGCCUUGGCACCAGAAGCCGAUGAAGGACGUGGUUAACUGCGAUAAUCCCCGGUGAGGAGUAAACAUCUUUUGACCCGGGGGUUUCCGAAUCGGGAAACCGCUCCGGUUAAUAAUCGGAGACUCCAGUUUGAAUAAAAUAGAAUUGGAGAGGCAACGAGGCGAAGUGAAACAUCUCAGUAACCUCUGGAAAAGAAAGAGAAUUCGAUUUCCUCAGUAGUGGCGAGCGAAAUGGAAACAGCCUAAACUGCUUGUGCGUGAUAGGACGUACCCGUUGUACAAGCAGGGUAGCGGGGCUUAGUCGUCCUAUUGUACGUGAUGGAGAGAAGUUACCAAUGUAUGUCUUAGUCGAAUAGUCCUGGAAAAGGUUAACCGAAGAAGGUGACAGUCCUGUAGACGAAAAGAUAUACACUUCUUUGACUAAGUUCCCAAGUACCGCGAGACACGAGAAAUCUUGUGGGAAUCUGGCCGGACCACCGGCUAAGGCUAAAUACUCUCUGGUGACCGAUAGUGAACUAGUACCGUGAGGGAAAGGUGAAAAGGACCCGGGAACGGGAGUGAAAUAGAACCUGAAACUGUGUGCCUACAAGCAAUUCGAGCCCUAUAUCAGACGGAGGGCUUUAGACUAAGACUUUAGACUUUAAAAGGUUUUCCUUUUAAGGUUUUUUGUCGGUGUCUGUUGUCUAAUGUCUGAGAUGGGUGAGAGUGUGCCUUUUGUAUAAUGAACCGGCGAGUUAUUUAGUGUAGCAAGGUUAAUUCCUUUAAAUCGGAAGGAGCCGUAGCGAAAGCGAGUCUUAAAUGGGCGAUAAGUUGCACUAAAUAGACCCGAAGCCAAGUGAUCUAUCCAUGGACAGGGUGAAGCCUCGAUAAAACGGGGUGGAGGCCCGAACUGUUUGAUGUUGAAAAAUCACUAGAUGAGCUGUGGAUAGGGGUGAAAGGCCAAUCUAACUUGGUAAUAGCUGGUUCUCCCCGAAAUAGUUUUGGGGCUAGCCUUGUAACUGAAACGAUGGGGGUAGAGCACUGGAUAGAGUAGGGGCCUUUCCGGGCUUCCAAAUCUAACCAAACUCCGAAUACCAUCGCGAUCCCGAUUUAUCGGGAUAAAUUACAGGAGUCAGACUGUGGGGGAUAAGCUCCAUAGUCGAGAGGGAAAGAGCCCAGACCAUCCGUUAAGGUCCCUAAUAUAGGCUAAGUGGUAAAGGAUGUAAGAUUACCCAGACAGCCAGGAAGUUGGCUCAGAAGCAGCCAUCCUUUAAAGAGUGCGUAACAGCUCACUGGUUAAGUGGUCUUGCGCCGAUAAUUUCCGGGGCUAAGUUUAUAACCGAAACGGUGGAUGCGUUAGUUCAUUUUAUGGACUGGCGUGUGGUAGGGGAGCGUUCCGUGGUAGGAUGAAGGCAGACCGUGAGGACUGCUGGACGAAACGGAAGUGAUUAUGCCGGUAUAAGUAGCGAUAAUUCCGAUGAGAAAUCGGGACGCCGAAAGUCUAAGGUUUCCUUGAGUAAAGCUAAUCUGCUCAGGGUUAGUCGGUCCUAAGUUGAGGCUGAAAAGCGUAGACGAUGGGCAGUCCGUUAAUAUUCGGACACUGCCAGAUUGGCGCUAAAAGCUGUGAGGUGACGCAGGGGGGUAGACCAUCUCUGAGAUGGAAUUCAGAGUUCACGUCCCCCCGAUUCUAUCGGGGGAGUGUGAGGAUUCCGAUGAAAAUCGGAAGAACUGGUUCAACCCACUGCCCAGAAAAACCUUUCAGUGAGCCAUUCUGGCAUCCGUACCGCAAACCGACACAGGUAGACGGGGUGAGAAUCCUAAGGCGCUCGAGAGAACUCUCGUUAAGUAACUCGGCAAAUUAACCCCGUAACUUCGGAAGAAGGGGUGCUCCGAUAGCCCGUAAGGGCAUAUCGGAGUCGCAGUGAAAUGGCCCAGGCGACUGUUUAACAAAAACACAGGACUCUGCUAACUCGUAAGAGGAUGUAUAGGGUCUGACGCCUGCCCGGUGCUGGAAGGUUAAGGGAAGAGGUUACUUCCCGAUUUAUCGGGAGGAAAGCUUCGAGCCGAAGCCCCAGUAAACGGCGGCCGUAACUAUAACGGUCCUAAGGUAGCGAAAUUCCUUGUCGGGUGAGUUCCGACCCGCACGAAUGGCGCAACGAUCUGGGCACUGUCUCAACGAGAGACUCGGCGAAAUUGUGAUCCCGGUGAAGACGCCGGGUACCCGCAACGGGACGGAAAGACCCCGGGAGCUUUACUGUAACUUAAUAUUGGAUUGUGGAAUAAUUUGUAGAGGAUAGGUGGGAGACGGUGAAGUUCCGACGCUAGUCGGAAUGGAGUCAACCUUGGAAUACCACCCUUAUUGUUCUGUGGUCCUAACCUACGGCCGUGAAUCCGGUCGGGGAACAGUGUUAGGCGGGCAGUUUAACUGGGGCGGUUGCCUCCUAAAGAGUAACGGAGGCGUCCAAAGGUUUCCUCAGCGUGAAUAGAAAUCACGUGUCGAGUGUAAAGGCAUAAGGAAGCUUGACUGUGACCCAGACAUGGGGAGCAGGUGCGAAAGCAGGGCUUAGUGAUCCGGCGGUUUAGUGUGGAAUUGCCGUCGCUCAACGGAUAAAAGCUACCCCGGGGAUAACAGGCUUAUCUCCCCCAAGAGUUCACAUCGACGGGGAGGUUUGGCACCUCGAUGUCGGCUCAUCGCAUCCUCCUGCUGAAGUAGGUGGGAAGGGUUUGUCUGUUCGCCAAUUAAAGCGGUACGUGAGCUGGGUUCAGUACGUCGUGAGACAGUACGGUCCCUAUCUGUUGCGGGCGCAGGAUAUUUGAGAGGAGCUGACCCUAGUACGAGAGGACCGGGUUGGACGAACCUCUGGUGUACCAGUUGUUCUGCCAAGAGCAUAGCUGGGUAGCUAUGUUCGGAUGAGAUAAACGCUGAAAGCAUAUAAGCGUGAAGCUCACCUCAAGAUUAGAUAUCCCUCCCGAUGAAUAAUCGGGACUAAAGACCCCUUGGAGACUACAAGGUUGAUAGGCCAGCGGUGUAAGCUCAGUGAUGAGUUUAGCUUACUGGUACUAAUCGGUCGUGAGGCUUGACCG
rnacentral:rRNA from 1 species